rnacentral:lncRNA from 1 species
AGGAAAAAGAAUCAGUCACACGGUAAGUGGCAAAGCCAGAAACAAAUUCCAAUGUUUUAAUUUCAAAUUAAUCUUUCCCACUAUGCCAUACUUCCUUAGUCUCUAAUUCAUCUUCCACCAUCUCUAAUAUUCUCAUUUCCCAGCCAGUCAGCCAAGCCAAAGAAUGAAUCCUUACUCAGUAUAGCCAGUCUCAAAAAGCCCCAUUUCCCAAAACAACUUUGAGUCCCAUUUUCUUUCUCAUUGGACAGCCUUGAGUUCUUCAAAGAGAAAAAAAGAGAAGAAAAGAAACUGAAGGAGUUAUAUAAGAGGAAAAUAGCAGGAGUAGCUGACCAGCUCUUCCUCUUAUCAAAGCCUACCUAAGAAAUCAUCUGCAUGGAAGAAAUCUGAGAAGACUUUCUAAGAAAAGCAUUUACCUAACUAGUGUUUACAUAUUAUCACCUCAAAAUACAUACAGCUUGUAUGUUAAUUGGCCAGGACCUGGAUAGUAGAAAAGAAUUGGGAAAACCACUCAAGAAAGGAGAAAACACAGAGCUGCAUAGAGGACUUUGAGCCAAUGCUGCUUUGAGACUCAGAAGAUGUGGUAAGUUUGCCAAAUGGCCAUAACACUUGCUUUUGGCUCACAUGGUAAAUCCAGUGAGUAAAGUUUUAGUCAUUUUGUUACUGGUGUGUGACAUGGGAGACUGAGAACAGGAACAGAGAAAGGAGAAGCACAGAACUCAAGAAUGGGGUGGGGUUGGGAAAGAGAAGGAGUUCUACUCUGAGAUCAGGGAAGGUUCUGG